AUUCAAUCUAAGAGUUGAGCUCAAGAAUAAUGUCUUCUGACUUUUGUUUCUAUGAUGAUAGCUCUUUCUACCACCAUUCCUGGCCAGAAAUGGUCUUCCCCGAUUGUGGCUUCUCUUUCUCCGAGCCAUUUUCUCCUUUCUUUGAUUCUUCGACUUAUAUGUUCCAAGAAUUAUCUAGCAACCAACACACUCAAAACCCCGUUCAUAAUUCCAACUCUUAUGACAAUUUUAACCCAAACAUCCUGUCAUCUUCCCCUCCAAGUCACAAACUGGAGAACUUGUCUCUUCAUCAGGCGACUUUGCAGCCAGUUGCAGAUGGUUCAAAUUUGGUAAAUGGGUACAGUAAUUUCUCUGCCAUGGAUGCUUUAGGAGUGAAAACUGAGGAAUAUCAAAUGGAUUUUGACUCCUCUUACAAUCACCAGUUAUUUAUGCCUCAUAGUUACAAUGGUGUGGAGAAUGUGGCAACGAUAAGCUAUAGCAGCAACUCUUUUGAAGAAAAACCUGAAUUUCCCUUUCAACCUCGCUUCAACACUCUUUUAGGGUCUCCCACUAAUUAUCAAAACCAACCCUUGAGCUCACCUGAAAACAACUUUCUUGCUGGUAAUUUGAGGAGGGUUUGCAGCACUGGAGACAUACAAAAUAUUAGGACAGCACAUACAGCACAGAGAUUCUUUUCAAGCCCUUUGGCAAAUGAAAACUCCUUUACGGAAGAAGCAAACUUCAAAUUGGUUCGUUACAGUGCUGAAGAGAGAAAAGAUAAGAUUUCCAAAUACAGAGCCAAGCGUAGCCAGAGAAAUUUCACCAAGACCAUUAAGUAUGCAUGCCGAAAGACGCUAGCAGACAAGAGGCUCCGUAUACGUGGCAGGUUCACACGCAACGAUGAGAGCGGUGAGAUUCCCAAAGGUGCAUGUUCUAACAGACAUGAAGCAGCAGAUGAGCUAUGGGUACCAUAAUUCUUUUUGUUCCUACAUUUCACAAUUCCUUUCUUCAAAGUUAUAAAUCUAAUCAUCAAAUUUUGGCUUCUUUAUGUUAUAAAAAUGCAGGUUGUAUUAUUAAACAUAUUCUUGUGUGUGUUCUUGCAGUUAAAUGGGAUUCAGGAAAAGGAAGAUGGUGGAAGAAUCAAAGAAGGAGAAGGAGGAGGAGGAGGAGGAG
rnacentral:misc_RNA from 1 species